rnacentral:rRNA from 1 species
GAUGAACGCUGGCGGCGUGCCUAAUACAUGCAAGUCGAGCGAACAGACGAGGAGCUUGCUCCUCUGACGUUAGCGGCGGACGGGUGAGUAACACGUGGAUAACCUACCUAUAAGACUGGGAUAACUUCGGGAAACCGGAGCUAAUACCGGAUAAUAUACUGAACCGCAUGGUUCAAUAGUGAAAGACGGUUUUGCUGUCACUUAUAGAUGGAUCCGCGCCGCAUUAGCUAGUUGGUAAGGUAACGGCUUACCAAGGCAACGAUGCGUAGCCGACCUGAGAGGGUGCUCGGCCACACUGGAACUGAGACACGGUCCAGACUCCUACGGGAGGCAGCAGUAGGGAAUCUUCCGCAAUGGGCGAAAGCCUGACGGAGCAACGCCGCGUGAGUGAUGAAGGUCUUCGGAUCGUAAAACUCUGUUAUUAGGGAAGAACAAAUGUGUAAGUAACUAUGCACGUCUUGACGGUACCUAAUCAGAAAGCCACGGCUAACUACGUG